CUCACUUAUGUCUUCAGGGGUGUCAAUAGGAAAACAUUUUGCCCUCGGCUGUGUCACUGGGGAAUGGGAAGAGUCAGGUCUCCUGCCUUGGCUGGGAGGGAAGGUAUUAAAUAUCAGGGGGCACGAGGCACUAAUUACUCACAUUAAACCAAGCCAGUGCCUGUCCUCAGACGGCUUUAUUUCAAGCAGCCUGAAAGAGGUCCCACAAAGUGGAACAACAAACUGUCCUGCACAUCGUUGAAAAACAAAGUUUCUACAUAAAUGGUG
rnacentral:lncRNA from 1 species